UUCAUGGAGAGUUUGAUCCUGGCUCAGGACGAACGCUGGCGGCGUGCCUAAUACAUGCAAGUCGAGCGGACAGAUGGGAGCUUGCUCCCUGAUGUCAGCGGCGGACGGGUGAGUAACACGUGGGUAACCUGCCUGUAAGACUGGGAUAACUCCGGGAAACCGGGGCUAAUACCAGAUGCUUGAUUGAACCGCAUGGUUCAAUUAUAAAAGGUGGCUUUUAGCUACCACUUACAGAUGGACCCGCGGCGCAUUAGCUAGUUGGUGAGGUAACGGCUCACCAAGGCAACGAUGCGUAGCCGACCUGAGAGGGUGAUCGGCCACACUGGGACUGAGACACGGCCCAGACUCCUACGGGAGGCAGCAGUAGGGAAUCUUCCGCAAUGGACGAAAGUCUGACGGAGCAACGCCGCGUGAGUGAUGAAGGUUUUCGGAUCGUAAAACUCUGUU
rnacentral:rRNA from 1 species